UACGUAGGGGGCUAGCGUUGUCCGGAAUCAUUGGGCGUAAAGCGCGUGUAGGCGGAUGGGACGUCGGUCGCUGAAAGCCCCGCUCAACCGGGACGGCGCCGAACGCCCGCUGAGGAGCGUAGGGGGGGGACCUGGAACUUCCGGUGGAGCGGUGAAAUGACGUUGAGAUCGGAAGGAAGCGCCCGUGGCGAAAGCGAGGUCCUGGACGUCGUACUGACGCUGAGACGCGAAAGC
rnacentral:rRNA from 1 species